UGCGGUGAUCGUGGCCUCACCGUACAUCCCGUCAUAGCCUCAGAACCCAACCGACCCUACUGCUGUCGUCCCACACUGGAUCGAUUCGCCGCUCCGCCACGUACAUGCAGUUCAAGGCCUCUACCCCAGGCCGUUCAAUGCCUUACCGGCUGCCGGACUGGUUCCCCUAGUAGACCCACCGCGGCCCAGGGCUUCACCCCGCUCGCAACCCACCGGCCUGAUUUUACAUGCCGCCGGCUCCCUCCAUCGACCAGCCACGUGUCGCGCACGCCCCUCCAGCGACCUACCACGCGCCCCGCACACCACACAAGUAGCAAAUGGGACUGACUGGGAGUGAUCCCUGAACCAUUUCAUUAAAGGCCAUGGUUUCCAACAAUGCUAAUGCUACUAGAAAGGAGCUGGAGAUGAAGCCUCUUUGGCUUCUCCAAUUAGCAUGUUUGGCCAGUCCUGAAGCGCUUCCUCAAGCUCUUCGACGAUGACUGGGCACCCAUCGAGGACGAGAGCUGCCGCAUUUAGUCUAGUUUCUUAUUUUAGUUUAGUUCAGUAACUAAUUUUUGUUCUGUUCAGUUCUUCUUUACAUUCUUCUAUACAACAGCAGGGAGAAGGUGCCUGAGACCCAUCCUGUCCUCUAUACAGAUUCAGAGUUUAACACAUCAAUGGAAGUUUGUUCUCAAAACUGAAAUUGUUCUGCAUGUACUGAUAGAUUAGCUGUUAAUUAUUGGAGUGUUCCGUUCUUGUAGAAUAAAAAUAUGAUGUAUGCAUUGCUUCUUGGCCCAGCUGAGAGAACCCUCAUGUUAAAAAGUAUAAAGCAGUUUUGAAGCAAUUCCCAGUGUCUUUAGAAGCAUUCAUGGUUAAAAAGCCACGACAACCUCCUCCGUUCGAGUUGAGCACUGGUCAUCAUCCAAGUUGAGCAAUAGGUGUCGUCCAAGUUCAAAGAGGGUUGUAUGCAAGUACAGAAGUUUGUUUAAGUGAGAAAAAAUACGGGGUUUUGACAAUAUUAUGUAUGAUUCAUUUGUUCAACCUUAGAACCUGGCAAUAUUCAGUCUAUUUUUCUAUGAUGAAGGCACGCAUGAAGUCCUGUGCAAUGGUUAUCCCCCUUGUGCUUCAAAGAUUCAUAUUUUGUUUCUUCAAAUGUGUUGUGCGCCUGUUUGAUAAGGUAAAACAAAGUAAAAAUGUGAAAAUGUCAUUAAAGACACUUGGAAGUACAAAUGUAAAAAAUAAAGAAGUCCUGAUUCUCGCCAAGUAGGAAGUUUUGGAGAAGAAAUCAUAAGUUUUUAAAAGAAGGAAUGGUAAAAAUGUAAGUCUGUUCAACUAUAUAAACCAUAAAGGUACGAUGGUGAUGACAUUGACAGUAAGGAUAAGGAUGAGAAAGAAAAUUAAAAACUAAAACUAAAAGAACAUCGAGUGAUUAUUUUUUGAGAAGUACAAACUCUCUAGUACCAUAAGUACCAUAAAU